rnacentral:rRNA from 1 species
UAGGGAAUCUUCGGCAAUGGGGGGAACCCUGACCGAGCAACGCCGCGUGAGUGAAGAAGGUUUUCGGAUCGUAAAGCUCUGUUGUUAAGGAAGAACGAGUGUGAGAAUGGAAAGUUCAUGCUGUGACGGUACUUAACCAGAAAGGGACGGCUAACUACGUGCCAGCAGCCGCGGUAAUACGUAGGUCCCGAGCGUUGUCCGGAUUUAUUGGGCGUAAAGCGAGCGCAGGCGGUUAGAAAAGUCUGAAGUGAAAGGCAGUGGCUCAACCAUUGUAGGCUUUGGAAACUGGUUAACUUGAGUGCAGAAGGGGAGAGUGGAAUUCCAUGUGGAGCGGUGAAAUGCGUAGAUAUAUGGAGGAACACCGGUGGCGAAAGCGGCUCUCUGGUCUGUAACUGACGCUGAGGCUCGAAAGCGUGGGGAGCGAACAGG